GAUGAAGAACGUAGCGAAAUGCGAAAAGUAGUGUGAAUUGCAGAAUUCAGUGAAUCAUCGAAUCUUUGAACGCACAUUGCGCCCCUUGGUAUUCCGAGGGGCAUGCCUGUUCGAGCGUCAUUUCAACCCUCAAGCACAGCUUGGUCUUGGGCUUCGCCGCUAACCCGGCGGGUCUUAAAAUCAGUGGCGGUGCCGUCGGGCCCUGAGCGCAGUAAUCUCUCUCGCUAUAGGGUCCCGGCGGAUGCUGGCCAGUAACCCCCAAUUUUCUAUGGUUGACCUCGGAUCAGGUAGGGAUACCCGCUGAACUUAAGCAUAUCAAUAAGCGGAGGA
rnacentral:misc_RNA from 1 species